rnacentral:rRNA from 1 species
AACGAACGCUGGCGGCGUGCCUAACACAUGCAAGUCGUGCGAGAAAGUUCCUUCGGGAGCGAGUAAAGCGGCGCACGGGUGAGUAACACGUAGGUAACCUGCCCCCCAGUCUGGAACAACUAGAGGAAACUCUAGCUAAUGCCGGAUGAGACCACGAUCCCUUCGGGGGUUGCGGCCAAAGAUGGCCUCUACUUGUAAGCUAUCGCUGAGGGAUGGGCCUGCGGGCCAUUAGCUUGUUGGUGAGGUAACGGCUCACCAAGGCUGUGAUGGCUAGCUGGUCUGAGAGGAUGACCAGCCACACUGGGACUGAGACACGGCCCAGACUCCUACGGGAGGCAGCAGUGGGAAUAUUGCGGCAAGUGGGCGAAGCCUGACGCAGCGACGCCGCGUGGGUGGA